GCCAGGUGGUGUGGUGCACGCCUGUAAUGCCAGCAUCUCUGGAGGCUGAGGCAGGAGGAUCAUGAGUUCAAAGCCAGCCUCAGCAAUAACAAAGAACUAAACAACUCAGUGAGACCCUGUCUCUA
rnacentral:sRNA from 1 species